rnacentral:lncRNA from 1 species
GAGGAGCUCUGGUCAGUCUAUAAUGAGCCCCUCAGCCCUGACCAGGACCAUCCAUAGUUCCCCUGGCUCUGGCAACUCAUGAACCAAGAAUGGGGCAGGGUGGAGGGACACGAGAGCCUGAGAAGAGCUGAGCCAGCAGAUGCUGGUCUGUGAAUCGAAGAGAGUCCCACAACAACGUCAGCUAUUGCUGCUGGCCUCGGCUGCCUUGCAGAACUGGAAGGUGAGACGCUAUAGCCAAGGCACCAUGUACAUCAAACACAGCAUGGAGCUCCAGCUGGCCUGGAGGCCUCCUUCCUCCCGAGGGUCAGCUCUCCUGCUGUCUAUAGAAACUGUGUAAGCUGCCCAGGGAGCGAGUGAUGAUCAAUAGUCCUACCCAACGAUAAUGUCUACACACCACAGAGACGAGCAGCCCCACACGAUAUCUCAAGGAUGGACAGUGGCCCUUAUAACCAACACGGUCUACAUGGAUUCAAGGCCUAUUCAAUAG